rnacentral:rRNA from 1 species
ACUUUUGUGACUGAGCGGCGGACGGGUGAGUAACGCGUGGGUAACCUGCCUCAUACAGGGGGAUAACAGUUAGAAAUGGCUGCUAAUACCGCAUAAGACCACAGUACUGCAUGGUACAGUGGUAAAAACUCCGGUGGUAUGAGAUGGACCCGCGUCUGAUUAGGUAGUUGGUGAGGUAACGGCCCACCAAGCCGACGAUCAGUAGCCGACCUGAGAGGGUGACCGGCCACAUUGGGACUGAGACACGGCCCAGACUCCUACGGGAGGCAGCAGUGGGGAAUAUUGCACAAUGGGCGAAAGCCUGAUGCAGCGACGCCGCGUGAAGGAUGAAGUAUUUCGGUAUGUAAACUUCUAUCAGCAGGGAAGAAAAUGACGGUACCUGACUAAGAAGCCCCGGCUAACUACGUGCCAGCAGCCGCGGUAAUACGUAGGGGGCAAGCGUUAUCCGGAUUUACUGGGUGUAAAGGGAGCGUAGACGGCUGUGCAAGUCUGAAGUGAAAGGCAUGGGCUCAACCUGUGGACUGCUUUGGAAACUGUGCAGCUAGAGUGUCGGAGAGGUAAGUGGAAUUCCUAGUGUAGCGGUGAAAUGCGUAGAUAUUAGGAGGAACACCAGUGGCGAAGGCGGCU